UACGAAGGGGGGCUAGCGUUGCUCGGAAUGACUGGGCGUAAAGGGCGCGUAGGCGGAUGGCACAGUCAGAUGUGAAAUUCCCGGGCUUAACCUGGGGGCUGCAUUUGAUACGUGUGAUCUAGAGUGAGGAAGAGGGUCGUGGAAUUCCCAGUGUAGAGGUGAAAUUCGUAGAUAUUGGGAAGAACACCGGUGGCGAAGGCGGCGACCUGGUCCUUGACUGACGCUGAGGCGCGAAAGCGUGGGGGAGCAAACAGG
rnacentral:rRNA from 1 species